AUGUCAUGGAAAUCCGCCGCCCGAGUUGCUCUGACGCGCAAACGUGACGUAAUUGCCUGGCUCGUACCACUUAUAGUGUUCCAAAUGCGUCUUUGGGCAUUUGCUACAGGACGAGUUGGAAAGAACAUGGACGCCACCAGUGCAGCAGCUGCCAUGCUAAUGCUGGACGUUUUCCUAGAACAUGAGAACAAGCAUGUAGCUCAUCUAAACAAGCUCCAGAAGCUCCAGAAAGAGGCGACAGAAGAAGAAAAUAGAAAACGAAAACGAAGCCGGAUGUGAAGAACACCCGUCUUGGAUGUCCAAGAGAGGAAGAUGAAAAUGACCAAGAAGUGGUGUUCUAGCAAAGUUUUGGCAAAACAAAAGACAAAAUUAAAUAUAUGCUUCUAUCAACAUUGUGUUGGUUGUAUUACGUAUAUGACGUUUCUUGCUGACACUAUUCCUGUGUUUUGUAAUAAAAGUGUUAAACCUUA